rnacentral:rRNA from 1 species
CAGUAGCCGCGGUAAUACGAGGGGAGCUAGCGUUAUUCGGAAUUACUGGGCGUAAAGCGUGCGUAGGCGGUUUGUUAAGUCUGUUGUGAAAUCCCCGGGCUCAACCUGGGAAUGGCAAUGGAUACUGGCAAGCUAGAGUGUGUCAGAGGAUGGUGGAAUUCCCGGUGUAGCGGUGAAAUGCGUAGAGACCGGGAGGAACAUCAGUGGCGAAGGCGGCCAUCUGGGACAACACUGACGCUGAGGCACGAAAGCGUGGGGAGCAAACAGGAUUAGAUACCCCAGUAGUCCCUGUCUCUUAUAC